rnacentral:rRNA from 1 species
UUGAACGCUGGCGGCAUGCCUUACACAUGCAAGUCGAACGGCAGCACGGGUGCUUGCACCUGGUGGCGAGUGGCGAACGGGUGAGUAAUACAUCGGAACAUGUCCUGUAGUGGGGGAUAGCCCGGCGAAAGCCGGAUUAAUACCGCAUACGAUCUACGGAUGAAAGCGGGGGACCUUCGGGCCUCGCGCUAUAGGGUUGGCCGAUGGCUGAUUAGCUAGUUGGUGGGGUAAAGGCCUACCAAGGCGACGAUCAGUAGCUGGUCUGAGAGGACGACCAGCCACACUGGGACUGAGACACGGCCCAGACUCCUACGGGAGGCAGCAGUGGGGAAUUUUGGACAAUGGGCGAAAGCCUGAUCCAGCAAUGCCGCGUGUGUGAAGAAGGCCUUCGGGUUGUAAAGCACUUUUGUCCGGAAAGAAAUCCUUGGCUCUAAUACAGUCGGGGGAUGACGGUACCGGAAGAAUAAGCACCGGCUAACUACGUGCCAGCAGCCGCGGUAAUACGUAGGGUGCGAGCGUUAAUCGGAAUUACUGGGCGUAAAGCGUGCGCAGGCGGUUUGCUAAGACCGAUGUGAAAUCCCCGGGCUCAACCUGGGAACUGCAUUGGUGACUGGCAGGCUAGAGUAUGGCAGAGGGGGGUAGAAUUCCACGUGUAGCAGUGAAAUGCGUAGAGAUGUGGAGGAAUACCGAUGGCGAAGGCAGCCCCCUGGGCCAAUACUGACGCUCAUGCACGAAAGCGUGGGGGAGCAAACAGGAUUAGAUACCCUGGUAGUCCACGCCCUAAACGAUGUCAACUAGUUGUUGGGGAUUCAUUUCCUUAGUAACGUAGCUAACGCGUGAAGUUGACCGCCUGGGGAGUACGGUCGCAAGAUUAAAACUCAAAGGAAUUGACGGGGACCCGCACAAGCGGUGGAUGAUGUGGAUUAAUUCGAUGCAGCGCGAAAAACCUUACCUACCCUUGACAUGGUCGGAAUCCUGCUGAGAGGUGGGAGUGCUCGAAAGAGAACCGGCGCACAGGUGCUGCAUGGCUGUCGUCAGCUCGUGUCGUGAGAUGUUGGGUUAAGUCCCGCAACGAGCGCAACCCUUGUCCUUAGUUGCUACGCAAGAGCACUCUAAGGAGACUGCCGGUGACAAACCGGAGGAAGGUGGGGAUGACGUCAAGUCCUCAUGGCCCUUAUGGGUAGGGCUUCACACGUCAUACAAUGGUCGGAACAGAGGGUUGCCAACCCGCGAGGGGGAGCUAAUCCCAGAAAACCGAUCGUAGUCCGGAUUGCACUCUGCAACUCGAGUGCAUGAAGCUGGAAUCGCUAGUAAUCGCGGAUCAGCAUGCCGCGGUGAAUACGUUCCCGGGUCUUGUACACACCG